ensembl:lncRNA
AGAGCUCUGAGGAGUGGGGAAGGAGUGAGCAAGAGCUUCAGUGAAAAUCCCAGACCUGCCAUGUACUUGCUUCUGACCUUUGGAAGCUGCUUCAUAUCUCCGAACUGUGUUGUGUUGGAUCUCUUUGAUGAAGGGACCGACUCUACCUGAGAAGCUGUGAACCUUGUAUCCAGGGCCUUGCCUCCAGGGACCCCCACAGCAUGUGCCCUCCUCUCUUCCCAGUGAGCAUCCUUGCCCUCGGGACAUCCUGGAUGAGCUGGUCAUCACACCAGGUCUCAGCUUGGAAUCACUGCUGGGAUUAUAGGCAUGUGGUACCACGCCUGGCUGCAACCUGCUCAUUCUGAUCCAGCC